AUCCUGUGAUGAAGGUAUCUUCGUAUUAACUCCUUGAAUCUUUCCCAUACCUCGUAUAAGGACUCAUCAUCCAAUUGUUGAAAAGUGGUGAUCUCAUUCUACAACU
rfam:Gossypium raimondii Chr13_contig_451, whole genome shotgun sequence.